rnacentral:rRNA from 1 species
UUGAAAGGGAAACGAUUGAAGUCAGUCGUACCUGCGGACAAUCAGCUUUUUGAGUGUGAUUAUGUGGAUUGUGAGGAGUUUAAUCACCCUCAUGUUUUACGUAUUCGUGCUCUUGGGUGUACUUGCCCGUGUGGUAGGUUAACAUCAAUUUUGGUCGUCAUAAAAUGACUGGAGGAAUGUAGCUUUGGUCUCGUAUCGAAGUGUUAUAGACUCUGGUAGAUGUGACGAUUGGGAUUGAGGAUUGCAACGGAUACCCUUCGGGGCUACUCGUCUGAUCUCUGAAGGUUGCUCCGGUGCCGAAAGCGUGCUUACGGUCAUCGAAAGUGAUUUUCAAAAGGUUAGAACGGGUUAAAUUCGUUAAGGAUGUUGACGU